AGCUUAAAAGAGGAAAUUUCUAAUUUCUUUAUGGCUUAGGUCGAGCUUUUAGCUA
rnacentral:tRNA from 1 species